GCCUGCCUGGUCAAGGGAUUGGUGAGUACAGUCUAAGGCUCAAGGCCAAUCUGAUAAGGAGCAGGACUCAGGGACUAGAGGAAUGUCACUCCCCUACUCCCAUCCUCUGUUGCCUGGUAACAGCCCUUGGCUGUGCCAGUUGCUCAGGCUCUCUGAGUCUCACACUUUCUGUAUCCUUUUCACACUGAGGACUGGCCGCAAUCCCUCUGCCUUCAGAUCUUCAGGGAACUCUCACUUCUUCCUGCCUUCCCUAGAACCUAUGGCGUUGCAGCUGGCGAGGACUUGGGAAAUCAAAUCCAAGCGGUCCCCUUUCAGAGGAGAGUGACUGAGGGGACCCAGCUCAGGUGACCCAGCCAGGUGCUCAGAGGUAGGUCCGGGACUUGGGCCUGGGUUUCUGGAUACCUGAUGUAUUAGGCAUGCUUCUAUUGCUGUGAAAAAACACCACGACCAAGGCGACUCACAGAAGGAAGUGUUUAUUUGGCUUAUGGCUCCUCAGGGAUAAGAGUUCCUCCCCAUCAUGGCUCAGAAGUGUGAAACAGGCAGGCAUGUGGCAGGAAGGGCUGAGAGCUCACAUCUCAUAUUGUAAACAAAGAGAGAAAAUUUGACAUGACACAAGAUUUUAAACUCUCAAAACUUGCUCCCCGUGACAUAUUUCCUCUAGCAAGUCCACAUCUAUACCUGACCAAACAGGGCCACCAAGUAGGGACUCAAGUAUUCAAAUGCCUGAGGAUAUGGGGGACAUGUUAUUUAAGCCAGCCAUACCUGCCAUCUUUUGACCGCAAAUGAAUAGAGUGUACUGAAUAGUGUCCCCGUCUGAAUUGAUAUCUGCUUGGAGCCCGUAUGCUCUUCUGGUUUGAAAUAAGGGUCUUUACAGAUGUAAUCAAGCUAAGAUGAGAUCCUCUAGGGUUUGUCAUACAGGGGUUAGCCGAUGACUGGUGUUCAUCUAAGAGAGAAAUUUAGAUACUGAGACACAGGAAGAAUGGCAUUUGAUGGCAGAGGCAGAGAGGACUGAUUUGUCUGCCAAGGACUUCCAGCUACAUUCACAUCUGAGAGAACAAGGAAGGAGGCUUUCCCAGCAGUCUCACGGAGGCCUGGCUCUGUGGACAUCUUGGCUGUCUGGCACUCUGGGGUAGGAAUUCUGUUGUUUGAGGUAUUGUGGUGAUGAAGGAUCUCACGCAUUGAAGCAUCUGAUGGGUAUUGCUGUCUGUCCUCUGAAGAUAGGAAUAUUCACUGACUGUC
ensembl:lncRNA